rnacentral:rRNA from 1 species
UUCCAGACUCCUACGGGAGGCAGCAGUGGGGAAUAUUGGGCAAUGGGCGCAAGCCUGACCCAGCAACGCCGCGUGAAGGAAGAAGGCUUUCGGGUUGUAAACUUCUUUUCUCAGGGACGAAGAUGACGGUACCUGGGGAGGAAGCUCCGGCUAACUACGUGCCAGCAGCCGCGGUAAUACGUAGGGAGCGAGCGUUGUCCGGAAUUACUGGGCGUAAAGCGCUCGUAGGCGGUAUGUCAAGUCAAGGGUGAAAUCCCCGCGCUCAACGUGGGAACUGCCUUUGAAACUGGCAAACUGGAGUGUGUGAGAGGAUAGUGGAAUUCCAGGUGUAGGAGUGAAAUCCGUAGAUAUCUGGAGGAACAUCAGUGGCGAAGGCGACUAUCUGGCACAUAACUGACGCCGAGGAGCGAAAGCGUGGGUAGCAAACAGGAUUAGAUACCCCGGUA